rnacentral:rRNA from 1 species
AGAGUUUGAUCCUGGCUCAGAACGAACGUUGGCGGCGUGGAUUAGGCAUGCAAGUCGAACGAAUCCCGGGGGCAACUCCGGGGGAAGUGGCGAAAGGGGCAGUAAUGCGUGGCUAACCUACCCUGGGGACGGGGAUAGCCUCCCUAACGGAAGGGUAAUACCUGGCGAUGUGGCGAGGGGGCAUCUUCUUGCCAUGAAAUGAGUUUCGCCUCGGGAGGGGGUCACGUGCUAUUAGCUUGUUGGCGGGGUAACGGCCCACCAAGGCUAAGAUGGCUAGCGGGUGUGAGAGCACGACCCGCGCCACUGGCACUGAGACACUGGCCAGACUCCUACGGGAGGCUGCAGUCGAGGAUCUUCGGCAAUGGGCGCAAGCCUGACCGAGCGACGCCGCGUGUGCGAUGAAGGCCUUCGGGUUGUAAAGCACUGUCGAGGGGGAGGAAAGCCCGCAAGGGUCUGACCUAUCCCUGGAGGAAGCACGGGCUAAGUUCGUGCCAGCAGCCGCGGUAAGACGAACCGUGCGAACGUUGUUCGGAUUCACUGGGCUUAAAGGGCGCGUAGGCGGCUUGCCAAGUCAGGGGUGAAAUCUUUCGGCUUAACCGGAAAAGUGCUUCUGAUACUGGCAGGCUGGAGGGAGGUAGGGGCAGAUGGAACUUCCGGUGGAGCGGUGAAAUGCGUGGAUAUCGGAAGGAACACCGGUGGCGAAAGCGAUCUGCUGGACCUCUUCUGACGCUGAGGCGCGAAAGCCAGGGGAGCAAACGGGAUUAGAUACCCCGGUAGUCCUGGCCCUAAACGAUGGGUACUAGGUAGUGGACUUGACAUGGGUUCACU